ACAGGGCUGAGACCUCUGGGGAAGGCAGGUGUGGUCCAGAAGAUGAGACUGCUGGGUCUUCUCCUGUGUCUGGUGACAGGUCCCCAUGGUGUUUUGUCUCAGGUGCAGCUGCAGGAGUCAGGGCCUGGCCUGGUGAAGCCCACAGAGACCCUGUCCCUCACCUGCACGGUCACUGGAUUCUCCAUCACAACCGGUGGUUACGGUUGGAAUUGGAUCCGUCAGCCCCCAGGAAAGGGCCUGGAGUGGAUGGGGUACAUAAAUAGCAAUGGUGGCACUUACUACAACCCAUCCCUCAAGAGCCGCAUCUCCAUCUCCAGAAACACAGACAAGAACGAGUUCUCUCUGCAGCUGAACUCUGCCAGUGCAGAAGACACAGCCAUAUAUUUCUGCACAAGAGACACAGCGAUUUGA